rnacentral:rRNA from 1 species
GCUUGAGUCAUCAGCUUGUGCUGAUUAUGUCCCUGCCCUUUGUACACACCGCCCGUCGCUCCUACCGAUCGAGUGAUCCGGUGAAUAAUUUGGGCUGUAGCAAUGUUCAGUUCUUGAACAAUGCAAUGACAAAUUUAAUGAACCUUAGCACUUAGAGGAAGGAGAAGUCGUAGCAAGGUUUCUGUAGGUGAACCUGCUGAAGGAUCAUGU